UUAUCAAAUUGGCAACAGGCCCUCUCUGGCCAUCUCUGUAUAGUUUGACCCAAUGAGUUUGGUUCUCCCUUCUUUGUCAAUUCCCCUGUCUCCUGAAUGUCUCAUUCUCAAACUCAUUUUGCUUGAAAUUGUGGUGGGAGAUGGUAUGUUUGAAACUUAAUAUGCUGAACACAGAACAGGAAGAUUUCAACAACUUUUUAGCAAACAAUGUUCACAUAAACCUGAAAUGAAGAGCCAAAGAGGAUGUGGUCUUUCAGCACCUCCAGCUAAAAAAUGCUGCAGAGGAACUUCCCGUAUUAAGUUGACAUACAAAGCCUGAAAGUCAACAUGCUAAUUAAUCUUACAGUUUGGAUACUGAACUGUGAUGACCGGAAUCAUCAAAUGGCUUCUGGAGUAUGAUGAAGAAGAUUAAUUUUGAUGAAGUCAUCAACAAUGACAGAAGUUAAGACUCAAAACCAAACUAAUGUAAUUAUUCAUUAGUAUAAGUGACCAGUAUAAUGGUAUACAUAUUCCCCUUUGUUCAAAGAAUUCAUUAAAAUAAUUAAAAAUAUUAA